rnacentral:lncRNA from 1 species
UAAGGGUCUAACGCUUUGUUUUGAAGAAAAUGAGGCACGAAGUCCCCAGAUUCGGUAUGGUAACCAACAUCCACCCAAGGCUUCUAAGCUGGUGGGAAGAUCUUCAUGUCAGUAAUCAGACUCUUGUCCACAAAUACUUAGGGAAUUUGCCUUUGCUUCUAGAAAUCUAGCUAGACAACAAAAUCAUAGAGGCUACGAC